rnacentral:rRNA from 1 species
GUGAACGCUGGCGGUAGGCCUAACACAUGCAAGUCGAACAGCAGCACAGUAAGAGCUUGCUCUUACGGGUGGCGAGUGGCGGACGGGUGAGGAAUACAUCGGAAUCUACUUUUUCGUGGGGGAUAACGUAGGGAAACUUACGCUAAUACCGCAUACGACCUACGGGUGAAAGCAGGGGAUCUUCGGACCUUGCGCGAUUGAAUGAGCCGAUGUCGGAUUAGCUAGUUGGCGGGGUAAAGGCCCACCAAGGCGACGAUCCGUAGCUGGUCUGAGAGGAUGAUCAGCCACACUGGAACUGAGACACGGUCCAGACUCCUACGGGAGGCAGCAGUGGGGAAUAUUGGACAAUGGGCGCAAGCCUGAUCCAGCCAUACCGCGUGGGUGAAGAAGGCCUUCGGGUUGUAAAGCCCUUUUGUUGGGAAAGAAAAGCAGCAGGUUAAUACCCCGCUGUUCUGACGGUACCCAAAGAAUAAGCACCGGCUAACUUCGUG